AGAGUUUGAUCCUGGCUUAGGAUGAACGCUAGCUACAGGCUUAACACAUGCAAGUCGAGGGGCAGCAUUGGAGUAGCAAUACUCAGAUGGCGACCGGCGCACGGGUGAGUAACACGUAUCCAACCUGCCGCUUACUCGGGGAUAGCCUUUACGAAAGAAAGAUUAAUACCCGAUGGUAUAAAGAGUUCGCAUGUUCUCUUUAUUAAAGAAUUUCGGUAAGCGAUGGGGAUGCGUUCCAUUAGAUAGUUGGCGGGGUAACGGCCCACCAAGUCUACGAUGGACAGGGGUUCUGAGAGGAAGGUCCCCCACAUUGGAACUGAGACACGGUCCAAACUCCUACGGGAGGCAGCAGUGAGGAAUAUUGGUCAAUGGACGAGAGUCUGAACCAGCCAAAGUAGCGUGAAGGAUGACUGCCCUAUGGGUUGUAAACUUCUUUUAUAAGGGAAUAAAGUGAGGGACGUGUCCCUUUUUGUAUGUACCUUAUGAAUAAGGAUCGGCUAACUCCGUGCCAGCCGCCGC
rnacentral:rRNA from 1 species